AAGGGAGAAAGAGAGAGAGAGAGAGAGAGAGAGUAGGUCGGAGGCCUCCAUGCUCCUAAACAGUUUUUGAUGAUGGAAUUUAUGAAUCGACGAUCGGCUCCGUUAGACUUGAUCCAGCGUAUUUGAAAUAUUUAGAAACUGAUUUUUGCAGUUUUUCGAUAUUAUUUACUUAGCAAUCAAAAGGAUUUAAUAUUAACGACUGAAAAUUAAAAUCCUAUAAAAAGUGGUGAUAUUGCACUAAAAUUUUUCAAUCAGAGAUAUUGAUCCUAUUGUUGAUAGUGUAAAAAAUUUUGUAUCAAAAUUUUAUUUGAUUUGAAUAUAUUUACGCUGUUAAACUUGAGAACGCCAGACAUCAACCAUUAAAAUUUAUUGAUUUUGAACCUUUUCGAUCAGUAAGUAAAUAAUAUCAAAAAAUCGUAAAAAUUAUUUUGUAAAAACUUCAAAUACGUUAGAUCAGCUCUAAUGGAGCGGAUCGUCGAUUCGGAAAUUCCGUAAUCGAAAAUUGUUCAGGAGCACGGAGGCUUAAUU
rnacentral:lncRNA from 1 species